GUUGAGUCAGGGCGGUUCGCGAGUGCUGUCAGAGCUGGGCGGGGAACCCUAGGCGGGGGAGCCGGGUCGUAGAGGCGGGGGCGAGUCGCGGUCGGUGGAGAGGGAUGAGGAUGUAGGAGGGGCGGACGUGGCGGAAGCCGCGGGGACUGCGGGGGCGGAGUACCUCUGGGGAGCCAGGGAGGCCUUUCCAGAGGCUCCUGGGGAAGAAGUGGCGAAGCGAGAGUACCCGGGGAACCCCCACUCCACCCCCAGCCGGAGACUGGGUUGUGCCUGCACAGACCAGAGCCCAGAGUGCGAGUUGCUAUAGGCCACCAGCCAGGGUGGCCAACUCCUCCCGGUUUGCCCGGGAUGUUCUGGUUUUGGGACCAAAGCAUCCCAGGCCUCCAGCCCACUGCAGGGACCAUAUUAUGCGCCCCCUGCCUAUCUUCUCACGCAGCUUCCCUAGAUUAGGUUUGGGAGGCAAGAGGAGGCCUCCUGACUUUUCACACUGCCUUCGUUAAUAUUAAGAUGAAGGCACACUCCACAACUUACUUCUGGCCAGGCCCAGACAUGUCCGUCCUUGUAAGAUAAAAAUUUCCAUGGGAGCCUUCCUUCCUAAUCAAGAUGCAAAUAAUACGACACUCUGAACAGACCCUAAAAACAGCUCUCAUCUCAAAGAACCCAGUGCUUGUGUCACAGUAUGAGAAAUUAGAUGCUGGGGAACAGCGUUUAAUGAAUGAAGCCUUCCAGCCAGCCAGUGAUCUCUUUGGACCCAUUACCUUGCAUUCUCCAUCAGAUUGGAUCACCUCCCACCCUGAGGCCCCCCAAGACUUUGAACAGUUCUUCAGUGAUCCUUACAGAAAGACACCCUCUCCAGACAAACGCAGCAUUUAUAUACAGUCCAUUGGCUCUCUAGGAAACACCAGACUUAUCAGUGAAGAAUAUAUUAAAUGGCUCACGGGCUACUGUAAAGCAUAUUUCUAUGGCUUGAGAGUAAAACUCCUAGAACCAGUUCCUGUUUCCGCAACAAGGUGUUCCUUUAGAGUCAAUGAGAACACAUAAAACCUACAAAUUCAUGCGGGGGACAUCCUGAAGUUCUUGAAAAAGUAGAAACCUGAAAAUGCCUUCUGUGUUGUGGAAAUAACAAUGAUUGAUCUUUACCCAAGAGACUCGUGGAAUUUUGUCUCUGGACAGGCCUCUGACAGAUGGUGUGGGGAUGUUCAGCUUUGCCAGGUAUGGCAGUGAUUUUUAUAGCAUGCGCCAUGAAGGCAAAGUGAAGAAGCUGAAGAAAACAUCUUCAAGUGACUAUUCAAUUUUCGACAACUGUUAUAUUCCAGAAAUAACUAGUGUUUUACUAUUUCGAUCCUGUAAGACUUUAACCCAUGAGAUCGGACACAUAUUUGGACUGCGACACUGCCAGUGGCUGGCAUGCCUAAUGCAAGGCUCCAACCACUUGGAAGAAGCUGACCGGCGCCCUCUAAACCUUUGUCCUACCUGUUUGCACAAGUUGCAGUGUGCUAUUGGCUUCAGGAUUGUCGAAAGUUAUUAAGCACUGGUGAGGUGGAUUGAUGACGAAUCUUCUGGCACACCUGGUGCAACUCCAGAACACAGUCGUGAGGGUAAUGGGAAUUUACUGAAACCCGUGGAAGCCUUUAAGGAAUGGAAAGAGUGGAUAAUAAAAUGCCUGGCUAUUCUCCAAAAAUAAGGACCUUCAAUUAAGAGUGAUUGAAAUAAAUGACUACUUGCAUGUUAUGCUUUCAUUUGGGUGGAAUACUUCAUCAGAAUAAACUACUGAUCUUGUGCUGUGUCAGAGUAACAGACUAGAACCUUCUUUCAGGUACCUGAAUUGAAAUGAAACUCAUUUUGAAUAAUAAAAACUCUAGAAACUCUUUA